rnacentral:rRNA from 1 species
GUCUUUUUGAGUUAUUUUUAAAGUCUGACCUGCCCACUGAAUUUUUAAAUGGCCGCAGUAUUCUAACUGUGCAAAGGUAGCAUAAUCAUUAGUCUUUUAAUUGAAGGCUGGUAUGAACGGUUGGACGAGGUAUAAACUGUUUCAUAUAUAUUUAUAUUAGAAUUUUAUAUUUUAGUUAAAAAGCUAAAAUGUUAUUAAAAGACGAGAAGACCCUAUAAAUCUUUAUAUUUUAUAUUAUUUAAAUUUUUUGGAUUUGGUUUAUUUUUAUUAUAUAAAAUAUUUUGUUGGGGUGAUGUUAAAAUUUAAUGAACUUUUAAUUAUUUAAAAUCAUUAAUUUAUGUAUUAUUGAUCCAUUAUUAGUGAUUAUCAGAUUAAGUUACUUUAGGGAUAACAGCGUAAUUUUUUUGGAGAGUUCAUAUCGAUAAAAAAGUUUGCGACCUCGAUGUUGGAUUAAGAUAUAGUUUUAGGUGUAGCAGCUUAAAUGAUAAGUCUGUUCGACUUUUAAAUUCUU